GAUGAACGCUGGCGGCGUGCCUAAUACAUGCAAGUCGAGCGAACGGACGAGAAGCUUGCUUUUCUGAUGUUAGCGGCGGACGGGUGAGUAACACGUGGAUAACCUACCUAUAAGACUGGGAUAACUUCGGGAAACCGGAGCUAAUACCGGCUAAUAUUUUGAACCGCAUGGUUCAAAAGUGAAAGACGGUCUUGCUGUCACCUAUAGAUGGAUCCGCGCUGCAUUAGCUAGUUGGUAAGGUAACGGCUUACCAAGGCAACGAUGAAUAGCCGACCUGAGAGGGUGAUCGGCCACACUGGAACUGAGACACGGCCCAGACUCCUACGGGAGGCAGCAGUAGGGAAUCUUCCGCAAUGGGCGAAAGCCUGACGGAGCAACGCCGCGUGAGUGAUGAAGGUCUUCGGAUCGUAAAACUCUGUUAUUAGGGAAGAACAUAUGUGUAAGUAACUGUGCACAUCUUGACGGUACCUAAUCAGAAAGCCACGGCUAACUACGUG
rnacentral:rRNA from 1 species